GAACUCCAAUGGCGUUUGUGUCAGCACGCCCACACCGGGCCACAACAAUGGCUGCCGCCAAUGUCCCAGUCCCUGGAGAGGUCUCACCCCUCACCGAGAUGUACUCAGGGCCUAUUAGGAUGUGAACUUCAUGUCUAAGACUUAGCUACUGUGAAGGAAAAUUCUAUUCUCCAUUUUCUGUUUGAGUGUCCCACUGGCUUCACUUUGUAUCUCAGGUCAGUACUGUGAUACAGGCUCUUACUUCAAGUUUCCAAAGAGUUUGUAGCGAAGAUAAACAAAACUGAACAAAAGAAACCAGUGGAGCUCCACUCAGACAAGUCAGAAUUCUGAAGAAGCAAAACAGUCUGGACAAGGCUAGAAAGCUGGAGAACCUCUGCAGGUUUGUCGGAUUCCUCAACAUUUCUAGGUCCCUCUGGCACUUCCACGUGAUUUUGGGGGCUGUUAUGAAUUUAAUGUCUUUCUAGUGCUACUGUCCUAAUAAUUGGAUGUCCUGAGGGCCGAGAUGAGGAUGAACCAAGAGAAAUGCCCAGGGUGCAACAUUUAAGGAGGCACUCAUUAUCAGAGUGCAAGUGCCAACUCUGAAUGCCUCCUAGCCUGGGCCCUCCUGAUUUUUCCCAAUGAGGUGACAAAGAAAACCCUUAAUAAUUUGUCAGGAUUUUGGUGGUGUUGAGAACCAGUAAUGUAUGAAGAAACCCUAUGACUGGAGUCCUACGAUUGAUUCCACCACCAACUGGCUCAAGUAUCCACAUCUAUAGAAGAAGAGGGUGUUGGACUAGAUCAUCUCUAAAAUUCUAUCAUGGAAGGUUUCUAUAACAAAAGGUUACCCACAGCUGGGCUGACUGGGAGAUUUUACCUCUGGAUCUGCGAGUACAAAUACUUCCGUCAAUAUUCUGUUUCCCAAAGGUAUGCUAAUUCUCGUGAAUAGUCACAACUAUGGUGGCAAAGUUUUAGAGAUUACAACUGGAUCAUUUCUCUGCAAUUGCUGUAAA